AGCGAACGCUGGCGGCAGGCCUAACACAUGCAAGUCGAACGAACUCUUCGGAGUUAGUGGCGGACGGGUGAGUAACACGUGGGAACGUGCCUUUAGGUUCGGAAUAACUCAGGGAAACUUGUGCUAAUACUGAAUGUGCCCUUCAGGGGAAAGAUUUAUCGCCUUUAGAGCGGCCCGCGUCUGAUUAGCUGGUUGGUGAGGUAAAGGCUCACCAAGGCGACGAUCAGUAGCUGGUCUGAGAGGAUGAUCAGCCGCAUUGGGACUGGGACACGGCACAAACUCCUACGGGAGGCAGCAGUGGAGAAUCUUGCGCAAUGGGCGAAAGCCUGACGCAGCCAUGCCGCGUGAAUGAUGAAGGUCUUAGGAUUGUAAAAUUCUUUCGCCGGGGACGAUAAUGACGGUACCCGGAGAAGAAGCCCCGGCUAACUUCGUGCCAGCAGCCGCCGCGG
rnacentral:rRNA from 1 species